ensembl:snRNA U6 U6 spliceosomal RNA
GGGACCAUGUGACAUAGAUACUAAAAUUGGAAUGAUAGAAGAUUAGCAUGGCCCUUCAAGGAUAACAUACAAAUUUAUAGUGUUCCAUAUUAAA